GACGUAGGGGGCCAGCGUUGUUCGGAAUUACUGGGUGUAAAGGGUUCGUAGGCGGGGUGGCAAGUCGGUCGUGAAAUCCUUCGGCUCAACCGAAGAACGUCGAUCGAUACUGCUGUUCUUGAGGGUUGCAGAGGAGACUGGAAUUCCCGGUGUAGCGGUGAAAUGUGUAGAGAUCGGGAGGAACACCGGUGGCGAAGGCGGGUCUCUGGGCAAUUCCUGACGCUGAGGCGCGAAAGCGUGGGGAGCAAACGGG
rnacentral:rRNA from 1 species